GGCAACCCUGACGGAGCAAUACCGCGUGCGGGAGGAAGGCCCUUGGGUUGUAAACCGCUUUUGUCAGGGAAGAAGAUCUGACGG
rnacentral:rRNA from 1 species